ACCCGCAAGGCAAGCUGCCAAUUUACCAAUAAUCUACUGCCAGUUUCAUUACUGGAGCUGCACUUGUUUGAAUUACUAAAAAUUUCUCAAUUAACUGGACUAGUUUGCAUUACUGGAACUGGGCUUGAUGAAGUAGUUAAUUGCCGAAAUAUAGAGUGCAUCUACACAAAGAUAAAUUCUUGCUGCAGGUCUAUUGUAAUUCUCAGUUAGUGCUUUAUCAAUACUAUCAAUGCUAUAAAUUAUUUCUUCAAAGUACCAGAAGUGUGUUCGCUAUACUGGUUAGUUUCUCCUUUCAAUGCUCACAUUACAUGUUGUUGUAGUUUCAUCACCUUUUUACUUAUAAUGAAAAGCUCAGUCUCUAUGAUGCAAUGCGGAAACUAAAUCAAUCUUGCAACCUUCAGUUGAAAAUUAAUACAGCAAGGAAUUUCAGUUGUAUCACUAAACUUGGUUAUUAGAGAUUCUUGAAAAAUGUCACACUCCAUCAUUGACGUUUUACUCUGAGCACAAUUUUGAGUUCAUUAACCCUUCACUAUUAUCAGGAACUUUAGCAUACGACAGUUCCAGGUUCAGAGUUGCAGUGUGACAAUUUUGUUUUCUUUGCAGAGGAGAAGAACUGAUGCUGGCUGAAGGGCAGGGGAGAUGUGCCGCUGAUGGCAUGUGUGGUGCUGCUACAAAUCUCAUGGGAAAUUUGUUCUUCGUCCUUGCUUCGGGUUUCACCAUGUCCUGCAAGGACAGCCUUUAGCGCCUCCAGAAUGAGUAAUACUCCGUGAUCUGCAAGGUUGUCGUUGUGUUAUAUACAAAUAACGGGACUGCACUUUUGUCUCUUGGCCGCAAUGGUGUGGAAAUGACAGUGCAUAGACAGGAAUCCCGGUGGCAAGUUUCGCCUCAAGGGCAGCCUGUAGCGCCUCUAGAAGGAGUAGCACAUGAUCUGCAAGUUGUGCUAUUCCUGGGAGCAGUCACGGGCUGCCUGAUCAUCCUAGCCACGGGCUAGUUGAAGUCUUCCUCUUAAAUAUAUUUAUGUCUUUGCUAAAUAUGCUUUAUUAAAGCCGACGCUGAAGUUUUGUUCCCGCUGGAGGAUAAAUAACAAGGCCUUAGCUGGACUGUUGAGGCUGAUGCAUCACUCGACAAGGAAUAACGGGGGCAGGGAGAUGUUGCCAUCAGGCAGAACCUAGCAUGAUGUAUAUAGUUGCAAAGGAUGUGUUUUGCUGUAAUAUUCGCCAUACCAGGUUGCAUGAGUUGUGUUGUACGCUCCUUUAGCUCUGAUUUAUUUGCUUUGUGAUGCGAAUGCCCCUAAAAGAUGGAAGGUCUUGGAAAAUAUCUUGCUGAUAUAUGUUUGCUUUUAUUGUU